rnacentral:rRNA from 1 species
GACGAACGCUGGCGGCGUGCCUAACACAUGCAAGUCGAACGGGGGUAUUUAUUUCGAUGAAUACCUUAGUAGCGAACGGGUGAGUAACGCGUGAGCAACCUAUCCUUAAGAGGGGGAUAACAUCUGGAAACAGAUGCUAAUACUGCAUAAGACCACACUGCCGCAUGGCAGAGGGGUCAAAGGAGCAAUCCGUUUAAGGAGGGGCUCGCGUCCCAUUAGAUAGUUGGUGAGGUAACAGCUCACCAAGUCAGCGAUGGGUAGCCGAGCUGAGAGGCUGAUCGGCCACACUGGAACUGAGACACGGUCCAGACUCCUACGGGAGGCAGCAGUGGGGAAUAUUGGGCAAUGGGGGGAACCCUGACCCAGCAACGCCGCGUGAGGGAAGAAGGCCUUCGGGUUGUAAACCUCUGUCAUUAGGGAAGAAGAAAGUGACGGUACCUAAUGAGGAAGCCCCGGCUAACUACGUGCCAGCCGCCGCAGUAA